UGGGGAAUAUUGGACAAUGGGCGCAAGCCUGAUCCAGCCAUACCGCGUGGGUGAAGAAGGCCUUCGGGUUGUAAAGCCCUUUUGUUGGGAAAGAAAUCCUAUCGGUUAAUAACCGGUGGGGAUGACGGUACCCAAAGAAUAAGCACCGGCUAACUUCGUGCCAGCAGCCGCGGUAAUACGAAGGGUGCAAGCGUUACUCGGAAUUACUGGGCGUAAAGCGUGCGUAGGUGGUGGUUUAAGUCUGCUGUGAAAG
rnacentral:rRNA from 1 species